rnacentral:rRNA from 1 species
AACGAACGCUGGCGGCAGGCUUAACACAUGCAAGUCGAACGCAUGCCUUCGGGCAUGAGUGGCAGACGGGUGAGUAACGCGUGGGAACCUACCCCUUGGUACGGGAUAGCUCCGGGAAACUGGAGAUAAUACCGUAUGUGUCCUGAGGGACAAAGAUUCAUCGCCAAGGGAUGGGCCCGCGUCGGAUUAGCUAGUUGGUGGGGUAACGGCCUACCAAGGCGACGAUCCGUAGCUGGUCUAAGAGGAUGAUCAGCCACAUUGGGACUGAGACACGGCCCAAACUCCUACGGGAGGCAGGAGAGGGGAAUAUUGGACAAUGGGCGCAAGGCUGAUGCAGCCAUGCCGCGUGAGUGAUGAAGGCCCGAGAGUUGUAAAGCUCUUUCACCGGUGACGGUAAUGACGGUAACCGGAGAAGAAGCCCCGGCUAACUUCGUG